AGCGAACGUUAGCGGCGCGCCUAACACAUGCAAGUCGCACGAGAAAGGGGGCAACCCCCGGUACAGUGGCGCACGGGUGAGUAACACGUGGAUUACCUGCCCUGGAGUGGUGGAUAACCUGUCGAAAGACGGGCUAAUACAGCAUGAGACCCCGUGAUUUCGAUCAUGAGGUCGAAGCGGGCCUCUAUUCAUAAGCUCGCGCUCCGGGAUGGGUCCGCGGCCCAUCAGCUAGUUGGCAGGGUAACGGCCUACCAAGGCGACGACGGGUAGCUGGUCUGAGAGGAUGAUCAGCCACACUGGAACUGAGACACGGUCCAGACUCC
rnacentral:rRNA from 1 species